ACACUGGAUCCUUUUAACCCACUGAGCCAGGCCAAGGAUGGAACUCAAGUCCUCCUGGGUACUAGUUGGGUUGGUUACUGCUGAGUGAUGAUGGGAACUCCUAUAGCUGACUUUCUAAUUUGAGAAGAGGAAGUAGCACUGAGUUUCCCUCAGAAACCAUCAUUUUGAAGAAAGCAAAAAAUAUGUUUCUAGAAAGAAAAACCCUCACAAUUCUCUUCUUACCUUCAAAUAAAGUAUAAUUACAGCUUUUAUGUAUGAAAGGAAGAAUCUAAUCUAUAAAAAUAUUCAUUCAUCAAUAAUAAUGUGACAGGAGUUCUUGCUGUUGCACAGUGGGUUAAGGAUCUGACAUUGCUGCAGCUGCUGUGGCUUAGAUUCAGCCCCUAGCCAGGAACUUCCAUGUGCUCCUUGGGUGACCAAAAACGAAAAAAGUAAUAAUAAACUGUAAAUAAUAAUGUUACAGAAAUGGAUGGAGCACAAAUCAGGGGCAGGGUGGAGGAUGUGAGCCAGCCCUGACAUCACCCCACAAUCAUGCUCUGGAAUCCUGGGCCCGAUGUUACCCUCUGAAGGGAAAACAACAGAGCUAUAGCCUGUUUACCACCAUGUGACAGAGACCAAGCCCACAGUGCCUGAAACAGCAUGAACACUCAAGUCCAAUUUGAUGAAUGAGUCACGCAGACUCAAGAAGUGCAUGACUGUCAAACACUAUUGAUGGCCAACGUCAUUUCAUGGUCAGGGCCACCUGAACCACUGCUUCACUCUCCGAGUCCAGCGCUGACGUGGCCUCAUCCAGCAGGAGGAUCUUCGGGUUACGAACCAGGGCCCGAGCGAUGGCGAUUCUCUGCUUCUGUCCACCACUCAGCUGGGCCCCUCUCUCUCCAACCAGGGUGUCAAAUUUCUACAUCACAGAAAACACAGGAGGAGUAAGCAACAGAAGAAGCUCUGUCAGCUCAGAUUUUAGGGUGGGACGUCAUCACAUAAACAACACAAGCCUCACAGGAGACAUGGUCCAAUUUCUUAAAGCAGAGUGAUAAGCAACCCUAAUGAAAGGCAUACAUCUACUCCCAGUUGCUGCUGCUAGAGCUUUAACAUCUGAAUAACCUCCAUUUCCCUAAGUAGGAGGUUCCUCCAGUUUAGAGUCCUUUCCUAACGUCCUAUACAUCAGGCCAGACCCCGUGACCCUCUCACGUGACAAAGAUCGAGAAAGACAUACGUUAGGCAGUUUCAUGAUAAAGUCAUAGGCGUUGGCUUCCUUCACAGCUUUCUCAAUCUCUUCCAUGGUGACAUUUUCCCGGCCAUAGCGAAUGUUCUCAGCUAUCGUGGUGGCAAAGAGCACGGGCUCCUGGCUCACCACGCCGAUAAUUUCCCGCAGAUACCUUACGUUGAUCGUCCUGAUGUCCUGUCCGUCAAUACUGACCUGAAGGAAAAAAUAGGUGUGAUCUCACCCGCUGCUGAUUGUGAUGUGUGAUCUGCAGAGGUCACCGCAGUAGCUAGUUCAGCAAGGGGCAUCUCACCACGCCCUCCGUGGGGUCAUAGAGCCUCUGCAUCAGCUGGACCGUCGUGCUUUUCCCACAGCCGCUGUUGCCGACCAGGGCCACCGUCUGCCCGCUCUCUACCUUCAAGUUGAGCCCCUUCAAGAUCUACCAGGAUGAAUGAAGAAUAAGCUUACAGUAGUGCUUAUCAAGACAAAUGCAGAAAUUAUUUCACUGAUUUGCUGGGUCCCAAGCAGCCAGAGGAAACAUUUGCAAAGGAAGAAGCAACAAGGAAGAAAAUCAUUUAGACGCCAGAAAAGAUAAAUGAUAUAAAUGAUAAAAGAAGGGCAGAAGGAGCAAGGAGACACAAACAAUAUUUGUUUUACAUGGACUUUUUGAUUAGCUUUUCAACAAAAAUGUCACAUAUACAAGACCAGAUACUAAAAUCAUCAGUUCAUUAAAAGCUUUAGUAUGAAAA